GUUCCCGUAGCUCAGCUGGCAGAGCGCUACCUUGACAUGGUAGAGGUCAUCAGUUCAAGCCUGGUCGGGAACACCA
rnacentral:tRNA from 1 species